rnacentral:lncRNA from 1 species
CUUAUUGCAACAUAUUUAAACCACAUAUUGUUAUUAUGGAAAACCCAUAAAGAUGGCUACAACUAAAGCAAUUAGCUAGGAGUUGUCCUGCUUGUUUAAUGAGGGGGGUAGAAUGGACUUUCUCCUUGUUACUUAGUUUGUCCUUAAAUUGGUACAUAUUCAUGGAUGGAGGGAGUAUGUGUUAUUUACUACCGGCUCUGUUAGUUUUUAGUGGACACAGUUUGAAUGUUGAGAAUACUAAUUAAUCUAUCUUUCAUCAUGAAUUCAUUUUAUAAUAUUUUGCUAAUAGUCACAAAAUUGAAACCAUUAGUAAGUGACUUAAAUAUGAAUCUAAUUGUUCUAAUUUUGUAAUAUCUAACUUAUUACCACACAUUCAGGAAUUACUACUGGUCAGUCAAAAUGUGGUUUUGAUGGCGAAACUAUACUCGUUAAAAUGAGCAGAAGUAGUAAUACAUUGUUUGUGCAAUUAGGAAAUGGAAGCUGACUUUGUUCUGGUCAUCCAAAGAGAAUUAGCAUAUGAAUGGAGAUUCCCUUAUUUCGGAGAAAUUUGCUGUAUUGAUCCUUGAAAUAUGUUCACAGUUUACGCUCCAAACAAUGGCUUCUCAGUUUUGAUACUCCAAACCUGUGCCUGAUUUCUUGACAUUCUAACCUUAUCAGACACUUCAUUUUCCUUUUCCUAUUCAGGCCAACUAAAAUGGCCAUCUUUCCAUUUAACUCUAUUUUAC